rfam:Danio rerio chromosome 4, GRCz11 reference primary assembly.
GUCUCUGUGGCGCAAUUGGUUAGCGCGUUAGGAUGUUAACUGAAAGGUUGGUGGUUCAAACCCACCCAGGGACA